UUAAGUGGACGAUACAUAUGCCCGCGUUAAAAAGCUAUUCAAAUUCACGGCACAACUACAAAACUCGUCACACACACACACACAAAAGACCUUAACAACGUUCACACCUUCACCCUUCAAAGGCACCCUUUUGCAGUACAUUGCAGCCCCGCGGUUUCCCCGGGCGUGGGCGUAAUGUGUUGGAAAAUUCAUGCCAGAAUAAUGAAACAUCACAGCGAAAUUAUUAGUAAACAACAGCAUGUUUAACGCUUCCGUGUAUGCGUGUGUUGGGGAGUUUAAUGACGGACGGUUUAACCCUGCUGGUGUGGUGUAACAGUAACGCUCACCAUGUUUUAUUUUCCUCUUUCAACGACUUUAGAAAGUGGUAUCAUUUCGUCAAUCCCGGGAGGGAGGACUGUAUCGUGCAGCGAUGAGGAUGACAGUACAGCCCGUUCGUUGAUUUUUCCUCCGAACCGAUGUUGUUUGGGACGAAAUCUAAAAAUGGAUGUCAAUGUAUAAGAACGCUUGAGGGAUCUGUCGUCGUACAGUCGUUCGUGCUUGUAUCGGCAUGGUCCAUGGGAUGUCCAUCGUGAGCCAAAAAUAUCAUCAUCACUGCAAAAGACACGAUACACGAUUGUGAGUGGAAGUUGGCAAAGA